ACCUAUAGCUAAUGGAAUAUUUAAGUGGAGCUCAUAGAAGUGAAAAACAGCUCAUACAUAUGUUGUCUAAUCGAGCCAUGGAUCCAAAGGAACUCAGCAUAUAAUUAAAUCAAGAUGUGCAUGUGUGGUGGAGUAAAUGAUAGUGAUGGUAAAAAUGUAUAAGUGAUAAUAAAACUUACUUCUCCUUGCUCCUCAUAUUGCUAUCUCUCCUCUUUGAUCUUUGCUUUGAGAGAACAUGGGCUAUCUCUUUUUUUUUCAGGUGGGUAGUAGAUACCCCUAAUUCUACUAUCGGACACUUGUCCAUUUUUUCCGCUUAUGUGGGCAUCUUUGUACCCCUAAUUCUACUCUGGACACUUAUCCAUUUUUACCUCCUGUCUCACUCUUUUUCUUUCUUUUUCGAGGUUCUGGGCACUUGCCCGUUUUUUAUUUCCUCACAUAUUUUUGCAUAACCCAUGCCUCUUCUGCAUUGAAUCUUUUUAGAGAGAGAGAAUAACAACACUUGGGACAGUGAGUGAUAAUAUUAUUUUUAGCAAUUUUAAUGCAUGGUGGUGAAUGGUGUAGUGGAUGUGUGCAAGUGAAUAUCUUAAUUUAACCACAUGAAAAGCUCCUAAGGUUCUACAUAGCUCGAUCAAACUCAAUGUGAAUAUAAGUAGCAAAAGAUGUUAUAGCAAGUAUGGCUGUGGUAGGAAUUUUGUCAUGCUAGGAACUCAUCAUGUAAUUUGCAAGUUUUCAAAAUAAAUCUCCAGAACUUAGUGUAGU
rnacentral:lncRNA from 1 species